rnacentral:rRNA from 1 species
GUGGGGAAUCUUAGACAAUGGGCGCAAGCCUGAUCUAGCCAUGCCGCGUGAGCGAUGAAGGCCUUAGGGUUGUAAAGCUCUUUCAGCUGGGAAGAUAAUGACGGUACCAGCAGAAGAAGCCCCGGCUAACUCCGUGCCAGCAGCCGCGGUAAUACGGAGGGGGCUAGCGUUGUUCGGAAUUACUGGGCGUAAAGCGCACGUAGGCGGAUCAGAAAGUCAGAGGUGAAAUCCCAGGGCUCAACCUUGGAACUGCCUUUGAAACUCCUGAUCUUGAGGUCGAGAGAGGUGAGUGGAAUUCCGAGUGUAGAGGUGAAAUUCGUAGAUAUUCGGAGGAACACCAGUGGCGAAGGCGGCUCACUGGACUGGUAUUGACGCUGAGGUGCGAAAGCGUGGGGAGCAAACAGGAUUAGAUACCCCAGUAGUCC